UACGUAGGGUGCAAGCGUUGUCCGGAAUUAUUGGGCGUAAAGAGCUCGUAGGCGGUCUGUCGCGUCUGCUGUGAAAACUCGGGGCUUAACCCCGGGCCUGCAGUGGGUACGGGCAGACUGGAGUGCGGUAGGGGAGAAUGGAAUUCCUGGUGUAGCGGUGGAAUGCGCAGAUAUCAGGAGGAACACCGGUGGCGAAGGCGGCUUUCUGGGCCUUACCUGACGCUGAGGAGCGAAAGCUGGGGGAGCGAACAGG
rnacentral:rRNA from 1 species